rnacentral:rRNA from 1 species
CUCCGGGUGAUCCUGCCGGACCCGACUGCUAUCAGAGUGGGACUAAGCCAUGCGAGUCGACGUAGCAAUGCGUGGCGAACGGCUCAGUAACACGUAGUCAACAUGCCCAGGGGACGUGGAUAACCUCGGGAAACUGAGAAUAAACCACGAUAGGUCACGAUUUCUGGAAUGGAUCAUGGCCUAAAUCUACAUGGCCCCUGGAUUGGACUGCGGCCGAUCAGGCUGUUGGUGAGGUAAUGGCCCACCAAACCUAUAACCGGUACGGGCUCUGAGAGGAGAAGCCCGGAGAUGGGCACUGAGACAAGGGCCCAGGCCCUAUGGGGCGCAGCAGGCGCGAAACCUCUGCAAUAGGCGAAAGCCUGACAGGGUUACUCUGAGUGAUUUCCGCUAAGGGGAUCUUUUGGCACCUCUAAAAAUGGUGCAGAAUAAGGGGUGGGCAAGUCUGGUGUCAGCCGCCGCGGUAAUACCAGCACCCCGAGUGGUCGGGACGAUUAUUGGGCCUAAAGCAUCCGUAGCCGGUUCUGCAAGUCUUCCGUUAAAUCCAGCCGCUCAACGGAUGGGCCGCGGAGGAUACUACAGGACUAGGAGGCGGGAGAGGCAAGCGGUACUCAGUGGGUAGGGGUAAAAUCCUUUGAUCCAUUGAAGACCACCAGUGGCGAAGGCGGCUUGCCAGAACGCGCUCGACGGUGAGGGAUGAAAGCUGGGGGAGCAAACCGGAUUAGAUACCCGGGUAGUCCCAGCUGUAAACGAUGCAGACUCGGUGAUGGGCUAGCCUUGUGCCAGCCCAGUGCCGCAGGGAAGCCGUUAAGCUCGCCGCCUGGGGAGUACGGUCGCAAGACUGAAACUUAAAGGAAUUGGCGGGGGAGCA